UACGUAGGUGGCAAGCGUUGUCCGGAUUUACUGGGCGUAAAGAGCGCGCAGGCGGUCGUUCAAGUCGCGUGUGAAAGCCCCCGGCUCAACUGGGGAGGGUCACGCGAUACUGAUCGACUCGAAGGCAGGAGAGGGUAGUGGAAUUCCCGGUGUAGUGGUGAAAUGCGUAGAUAUCGGGAGGAACACCAGCGGCGAAGGCGGCACUCUGGGCUGGAACUGACGCUGAGGAGCGAAAGCGUGGGUAGCAAACAGG
rnacentral:rRNA from 1 species